UGGGGUUUUGGGAUUUUGGUUUUUUUUGCUUGUUUUGACUUUCUGUUUUUGUUUUGUUUUGUUUGUUUUGAGAGGGGGAGGGAGAGAGAGAUAACAUGAAGUUCAGUGGGUGGGUAAGGGGUAAGGAGGUAGGAGGGAUCUAGGAGAACUAGAAAAGAGGAAAACAUGAUCAAAAUACAUUGUAUGAGAAAAUAAAUUUAAAAAGAUUUGGAAGAAUACAGCAGUAAGUUAAAAGAAACAUACGGUGCUUACGGUGUGUCAGCCAUGCUGCAGGGGAGGGCCACAUGUCCAGGAACAUAAGGCCAGAAAAAUUGGACUGGGAGAAUGUGAGAGAAAAGAACACAAAGUUGGCAGGGUAAAGAUGAUUUGAGAGGAGUCGGGGGAGCCUCGAAUCUGAUCAAAACCCAAUUGUACACAACUUCGCAAAGACCUGACUUUAAAAUGAGCAGCUAAUUAACUGAAAUGACCAGUCUCCCUGAGUGCUUCGCUCAGUAACUCAUCAGUUUCACGGCAUUAUGGGGACAAGCAGGACUCACAUCGCAUAUGGUCAUCUGGGGAUUGUCGAGGCGAUUACUUGUCUGUGCAUGCUUGUCCAUGAUGCUUAGAACUCUAUGAGGAAAAGGAGGCAGAAAGGAUCUAAGAGCCAGAGGGGAAGGAUGGCUCCAAGAAAACCGUCUUCCAGACACAACAGGAACAACAUUGUGUCACGAUCGCUGUCAUAAGUGCAGCUGCCCACACUGCUUCCCUCUAUUCAUCCAUCACCUCUGCCUCUUACAGUGUUGAUGAACGAAAAAUGUGGCUAUUUACACAGUGGAAUAGUAUUCAGCAGUUAAAAAAGAUGAAAUUAGGAAGCUCGCAGGUAAAGGGUACAGCUGAAGAUAUCAUUCCGAGUUAAGUAUCCCUGACAAACGACCCAUGUUUUCUUUCAUUUGUUAGCUUUGAAUCCUCAGAUAUAUACAUUUCUUUUGGAAUACCCACAGAGGUCAGGAAACCAGAAAGAGAUGUGGGGGUGGGGCAGCCUUCAAGGGAGGAGAGAUAGAUAGCUACUUUGUUUUUAAAGAGAGGUUCCGUUUCCUUUCUCACUCUUUUUUACUUCAGUGGUUACAAGCAAGACUCUACUUAACCCAGCCAGGUAAUCUUAAUCCUGGGUACAGUUAGAUGCCAGCAGUGUGGAGACUGAUCCUUCCCUCACGUUUCACACACCUUCCCUUUGCUACCCUGCAAGUGCUUUAAAGACCAUGAAAAUCAAACACUAAACAAAUCCAAUCCAGUGGCCGGAAUAAAAGCAUGCUUAAAGGAAUUCAGGCUGUGUGUGUAAUAAAAAUCAGUGGAGCCCUUUCCAGAAGUAUGAUAGAUUGGAUAAUACUUCCACUGGCUUCACUCGAAACCUUAAGGGAAGUUUCUUUGGUGCAUUCACUGAAGAAAAAUCCAUACUUAACGGCUUUUGCUUAGCAAGGAGGAAAAACACACCAAGUUGCCUAUGCUUACAGGAAACAAGAGGUGCUGUGGGCAAAUGUGGGAAGGCCCAAUGCAAAUUUAGCAGGCCAAAUAAUAACCGGGUAAGUCUGACUUUUACCAGCACAGCCUCGUGGUCUGAGGAUGUGGCAGGCCCUGAUUGGCUGACCUAUGAAUGACCUUCUUAGACUGUAAACAAGGUCAAAAGUGACUUCACUGGGCUGAAUGAAUGAGUCAUUAAAAGUAGUUAUCCCGCCCACACUUAGAAUUGAACAACUUCUUAGGGGCAAUUAAAUCUCUCUCUCUGUCUCUCUAUCUGUCUCUCUAUCUGUCUCUCUGCCUGUCUCUCUGUCUCUCUCUGUCUCUGUCUCUCUCUCUCUUUCUGAGUUUCCUUGUUCUAACUCCUGUCACUGUGACAAGGACUUAGAAUUUAAGAGACAAUGACCUGAACCGGCUGAAAGCCACUUAAUCUUAAAGAACCCAGACCAAGCCUUCUUUGACUCCAAGGCAAACAGGUUCUGCCUUGAAGAAAAUGGUAAAGCUUGAAUGGCUUUGAACCACAUCCAAGCUUACAAUGGUUUUCUCUAGUGUGUAGCAAAACCUGAACAACAAAAUCGGGCUGUGUGUAAUAGCUCAACAGUUAAGGACAUGGAUUUGGCACUCACUUGCAGGAAGGUGGGCUCAGCUCUGCUACUCUCUGGUCUUGUAACUCAGGCAAGGUUUGUGUGCAUCUUUCCUGUCUUGCUCCUACUCUGCCAAACAAGGCUAUGGUAGUUUGAAUGAGAUUUACCUCUAUAGGUUCAUACAUUUAAAUACUUAGUCUGCAUUGGUGGGCCUAUUUGGGAAGGAUUAGGAAGUUUAGUCCAGAUUGAGGAGUUGUGUUACUGGGGACAGACUUCAAGGUUUCAAAACACAGCAUUCCCAGAGUUCCCUCCCUGCCCCUUACUUGUGGAUCAAGUCAUGAACUUGCUCCCACGUCUUUACUCCAUCAUCAUGGACUUUAACCUGUUGCAAGAUAUUUGAUCACAUUGUGAACCCCAAGAUUGUGUUAUUUACUGAAAAAAAAAAAAAGCUGUUUCUUGUUGUGGUGUGGCUUAGCCUUAGCACACACCUUUAAUCCCUCUGGCUGGAAUAAAAACACACCCUUGGUACACCCCUUUAAUGCCAAACAAUGAAGGCUAAGUUAGUUUGUAGAAGGAAGUACCCAUGUCUGAAAGUGAUGUCUAAUUGAGUGGCAGACAAAUCAGCGAAAGAUUUGACAGAGUAGGAUAUGCCGAACUCUCACAAAGAGAGGAAAGGGAGGCCACUUAAGAGAGCAGUGCAUUUACCUGGAUAGUUAUAGAGAUAGGUUGCAGAGAAAUGAGCCGGAGAAUGAGAAGGAACCAGAAGAUUAGAACAGAUUGCUAGAGUCGGUCUGAGGCCAAGCAGAGCAGUUCAGGAGAGGCCGGUAGAGAAAAGCCAGAUGGAAUCAGUCAGUUUGGAGAGGCGUUUGAGCCAGAAGGGCUCAGCUGACUUGCCAGUCACAGCUCAGAAAGAACUAGGAAAGCAGGAAUGGGCGUAUUCAGUAGCAAGUCUCAGAGGCUGAAACCAUUCUAGGUCUAGAUUCGAUUGUACAGGGAGGGAGGAUGGAAGCUUCCAGGACUAGGCCUAGGUUAGCAGACAGAGGCAGUUAAGUCUUCCAAGGCAACAAUUUCAUCUGAGGAAAUAAAUGUUACUUCUACACUAACCCUCUGGAACUGCAAGGGAUCCUUUUAUAAAGGUUGCUUUGGUCCUGGUGUUUUGUCUCAGCAAUAGAAAAGUAAGACAAAGGAAUAUGAGAGUUAUGCAGGUUAAGGUGAAGUAACAUAGCAUGUAAAUUGUUACACUGAGUCUGCGUAGGACUAAGGCUCAGGAAAUAUGAGCCAUCAUCAUCAUUAUUGUUUCAACUGCCAAAUAGUAGUUUUCAUUUAGAUUUCUGAAAUCUUUGGGACUGAGGGAAUCUUGAAUGUGAGCUGCUCCUCCACAGCCUAAUUCAACUUAGUGACUUAAUCCAUACCCUGAUGUUUAAAAAUAUUUUUAUGAAUAAUAGAAUACACAUUAUUUUAUUAUUCAUGUGUUUACUCACUGAAGUGGAAAGCCACUUCUCACACAAAGAACUUAGCUUUUUAAGUGAACACUAAACUCUAGUCAUAGCAUAGGGAUGUAGGCCGUUGAGGGUAUUUAGCGUGCAUGGAACCUUGGGUUCUGCACCAGAGGUUGGAAUGAAGUAGCUAUAAUCUGGUCACAGUUAUAACCCAUGCACGCUAAAUACAUAUCUUCAUACAUAGUAAGGAAAAGAACAAAACCAAAGCCAGACAAAGUAUACAUCUGAGGCCGUGGCUAUUAUGAUGAUUAGUGUUAACUGUCAGUCUGAGGAGGCUUCUCUGUGAGGGGUUAUUCAUGCCUUCAAAGGAUUAGGUUAACUGAGAUAGAAAGACUGACACUAAAAGUGGACCAUGCCAUUCUCUGAGCUUGAGCUCAGAUAGGGAAAAGCUGGCUGAACAGAGGUGUUCCAAUCCCUCGACUUCCUGAUUAUGGAUGCGAGGUAGCCAGCUGCUUCAAGUUCCUAACCUUGACUUGCUGACAUAGCAGACCAUGCCCUGGAGCUGUGAACUAAAAUAUACCCUCCUCCCUUAAGUCAUUUUUGUCAAGGUAUUUUAUCACAACAACAGAAAAAGAAGCCAGGAUGACCUCAUAAGCCAUGAAUGGUAUGUGUUCUCCAUAGUCUGUGUCUGGAACAAGCAACUGAGGCCAGUUUCCAUCCUGCUGGCAGACAAUGAACCAGGUCUUAAUUAAUUUACACUCUUUGAUUAGAACUUUGACAUUGCUAUAAAAUUAUAAAAAAGGCUGUCUUUUAUUCCGCACUAGAUCCGGCACCAUAGUGCCCCAAGAUGUCUGGUAGAAAUCUUCAUCUCAGUCAGCAAAGCCUCUCACUAACUUUGCUCCAUCCCAUAUCACACUGUUGAUGGCUACUCUCCGAGCCUGGCAACAAUCUCUCUACCCAUCUAGUUCCCAAGGCAGGUUGCCACCAUGCCAGACAUACACAUCCCAAUUCCGUGGCAGGCUAGCAUGUCUAGCCACUACAUACUCUCUUGAACUUUUGAAUUACCUUGAAUUACCACAUGAAACAACACACAACACAGUAACCUCUGAUCCAAUUGAUAAUAUAUAAUUUGCUCAUCUAGACAUGCAAAGCCCUGUACACAUCCAUCCCUUAAGAAUAUUCAUAACAACCUGUAAAUGUGCAGAGAGGAAUCCUAACAUCUGCCUCCAUGUCCUCUCGGUUGCUUCUCCUUCUCUUGUUCCAGUCUUCUCCCCUCUCUAAAACUUUCCUCCCGCCCAUCCUUCCUUCUCAUCCAAUGACAGGCCUCGUUCUAUCUUGUACCUGCCUUUACCUGUAUAAUGACAUCAUCCUACACUUAGACAUAGUCCUGAUUGCUCAGGCUUCUUUGACUCUCUCACAGCCUUCCAUCCUCACCACAUCUGUCAGAGAACAUGGUCUGUAUUCUCCUCCAGGAGGACUAUCUCUUUUAGGACGUAGGCACGUCAAAACUUCGGGUAUGUCAGAAUCUUUCGAAAGCUGUAGGCAUCGAACAGCUGGGGACUACCCACACCCACAGUCUGACUGCUUUCAACCCUUCACAGUAGGGAGGUCAUGUCUCUGUAAAUCAGGAGAGAUUUCCAUCCACUGCCUCACAGCCCAUGAGAAAUAUUUCCCAUCACAUCAGCUGGCCUUUGAGCUGCUCUGUGCGCAGAAUAAAGAGGGAAGCCAGGGGAACAGAAAUUUAGCUGCCAACCUCUGUUGCAGACAAGAUUUAUCCCUUGGAAACUGUAGGCUAUCGCUGCAGAGAUCCACCUCUUAAUGGUUUUCCGCUCAGCAGAAACUGUUGUCAGGGAGACUGAAGCUGUGCCUGUCUUGCAGAGCUAUCUUGCUGCUUUCUCACUUAGACGCCAGAGAGACUUGUAGUAGGUGACUUGUUUCCACAUCCUAUUUACCCGGCUCUAUGCCACUAAUAUGCCACCAAGCAUAAAAUGCUCUGAUCUGAUUCACUAAUGGUAGAUUCACAUAGUGGACUGACUGACUCUCAAGGGGAAGGCAGACGCGGCUCCCUGGGAGCUGAUUGUUGUCCAAAAUGCUGAGCUGUAUCACGGUCCUCUGCCUUCUUCUCUGAAUCCACGUGGUACUCAUUGUCCCCCCUGCCCCCUACUUAGUCGGCCCUGGAUUAUGGAUGGCCUCAUAUUGUUCCCUAAUUGUUCCUCCACCAGAGAAGUGAUGGAGUUUCCUGAAGAUGGAGUUCUUUUUCCUCACGUAACUUCUAGCAUUGUAACCACUCCCCACAAAGCCUCUAGCUAGUAAUUUCCCUUUCUUCAUGGAGUGAACUUCAAAUCAACUAGAUAAAGAGUAAAAAAGAAUUCCACCCUGCCCCCAGUGAAACACUAACAGAAAAAGAAAUAUCAUCUGGACAUGAAAUUGAGCCUUACCAGUUGGAGAUUAGGAAAAGGUAUCCCCAGAGCUGAGGGAUUCCUUCAAACCCUUCACCAAUCAUCAAAUGAGUCCUCACUCCGGAGGAUCUCCUCUAUUCUGUUCAACAGAAACAGGAAAUCUUUGGUAUACUAAAAACAAAAAUGUUCUUUAAUUCUUAAAGUCAGCAUCAGGAAAAUCCCAACUAUAAUGAAAACCAGUUGCUUGAAAUAAAAUCUAGACAUCAGCUAGGACCAUAUUCUCCUCAUCAUAGUAAAUAACCAUCUUGAAAUAUUUACAGAAAGCCAUAUAUGAAAAAGAAAAGAGGGAGAGGAAGAAAAAGGAGGAGGAGGAAAAGGAGAAGGAAGAGGAGGAAGAUGAGGAAGAGGAGGAGGAGGAAGAGGAGCAGGAAAAGGAAAGAGGGAAAGAGGAAGGAAAGGAAGGAAGGAAGGAAGGAAGGAAGGAAGGGAGGGAACAGCCAAACAUUUUGAAAAGAGCAAAAGCUAUCCCACCAUGAAUGUCUCCUCGAGCAAACUGUGUGAGCCCUUCUUCAGACAAGCUACAUCCCCAACAGCCCUGACUUGAUAUUCCCUAAAGAUGAAGACAACUCUGUGUCUCUUGUGACUAUGUCAAGUUCUCACUGACAAGAUUUUAAUGUUCAGUGCACCCUUUGAAAAUAGGGGGAAAUGGUUUCUUUGGGAAACUUAUGACAAACAGAAAAGACAAAAUCUACCACCACAUGAACAUCCUGAGCCUCCUUUAAGUACUCUAUGUUCACACAGGAUUCAUGGACAGACAGGCCACCAGGAAUGCCACCCCUGGGCCUGCCUUCAGGUAGAACCAGGGUCAAGAGAGUGAGGUUCUGUACUAUUUAUUUUUAGUCUUCAGAGAAGAAUUCUAUCACCACCUCUUUGUUCAUGUUUUAUCAACGACUUCCUUACACAAUUACUCUACCUACCGAAUGAUUUGUGCUUCAGCAAGCUAGGCCCCUAUCAUUCUGGCCCAUUUCCCCUCACUUCUCAGGCAGGCCCUUGGCUGCUUGACUGGCCUGGGAAGACUAUGGAUCAUCCGCCAGGCAUGGCCAUCCCAUCAUGGCCAGUGCAGUCCAUUACAUGACCAUAUUCUGUUUCUUUACAGCAUGCACUGUGCAGUUUUGUUGAUUCAUUUCCAAUCUUUGAAUGAGACUGUAAGCCCCAUAGAUCAUGUCUCUCUUUCCCAGCAUCCUGUCUACAGCGUCUGUGUGGACAUAUAGCCAGCAGCAUUCAACUCAGCAAGAGAAGGCAGGAGUAAGAAGGGACAGAUGGAAGAGAAAAUGUGGAAAAAGCAGGAAGUCUCGAAGACAGAAGGAGGAGCCACCAAGAGUGCCCAUCCUCAGUCUGUCCCUGCUCUUGGCUGCCUUCCUUCCCCUCUAUAUCCUUGGUUCCAGUCCCACCAUGAGGCGCAGACUCACAGAACAACCUGGGAAAACAUAGCUAACAUAACUGACCUCUUGCUUUAAUGCAGAGCUUCCUUUGCUUCUGCUAAAAUCCUCAGUUAAAUGAAGAAAGGGCCCUGUGUGGUACCUUAGGAAAGAGGGAGACUUCACUCUGGGACUUGGAUGGGGCCAGUGUCCUGCUUCAGCUCCAUUCCCAGUUUUCCUCCAGCUAAAGCUCUGUUCAUUGAGCAGGACUAAAAUCUUCCUGGUUGCUUCAACCUAGAACUUCAGCCCUGACUUUCCUCUGGACCCUGAUUGUAUCUCAUGGUUCUUCGGGGGAAAUCCCACAGGCAGCUUAUUUGGGGUGUUCUUUGGUCCAAAUUGAGUUGGUCCCCACCUUCUCCCUACACCAAUUUACACAGGCCAUAUCUAGGAAUUGGCUGCCCUUGUGUCAAGGCUCCUCUUGCUAAGGCUAGCAUUAUUUUGAGGAGAGGUGGAUCAAGUCAUGUGUCAUACGAAUUGACUUUUCAUUGAAUAACUCUGGUAGGAAGGCAGCUUAACAUUCAUUGUUACAAGCAUAAAGUCCUGUAAGCUCGCCCAGUGGGGUGAGCACUGUUAUUCCCAUUCUGUGGGCAUGUUACUUGUUUCCUUCUGCAGAUGAUAAGGAUUAGAAGUUAGGUGUGGCUCCAACCACAAAAUUCCUACUGGGAAUUUGCCACCGAGACAGAGAGAAAUCAAGUGGAAGGAACUCAAAUGUUUAUCAUCCUGUCAAAAACAAGAACUGUUCCUCCAUGAACAAAUCACAAACUCUCCAGCCUACUAGUGAGUGUAGUAGGACCAUUGUAGCAAGAUUGGGUGGCUUAAACCCAGAGACAGUCUCACAGUUAUGGAGGGUCAAAGUCCAAAAUCAGUUUAUCUGUGUUUAGGCUCCUUCUGAGAGCUGCAAGGGAAAGAUUUACUUCAGACCUUUCUCCUUGGUUUAUAGGUGACCAUCUCCAAGGUCACAUCAUGCCUACUUGUCUAUGUCUAUACUUCCCUUUUUUUUAACUAAAGGUCAGCAUUUCCAGGAAAAUUGAGCACUCCAGAGGCAGAGGCAGAGGAGACAUUUUUCUGAGUUUGAGGCCAGCCUGGUCUAUGUAAUAAGUUCUAGGCCAGCCAAGCUUUCUUUUCCUUGUCAAAAGAAAGUUUGCUCAAGGACAUUUUUAAGAGAGUUUAAAAGAAAAAUCUCACGGCAGCUGUAUGUCAGGUGCUGUCUAGAAAAGAGAGAAGAGAAAGAGAAAGGGCCAGCCCCAUUUGAGUUAAGCUACUAUAGAGGGCAGCCAACUGAUUAGAAGAAAGAGAACUGAGAGAAAGAGUUCAGAUAAAGUAUUAGGAAACCAUGCUUAGAACAAAGAAGAAGAAAGGGAAACAUACUUUUCUGAGUAAUUAAAACAGUAGGUAGACCUUGCUGCCUGAGGUAGGCAGGAGAGCUAUCCCUGCCCCUCACCCGGGCAGCACAGUAGAGCUGACUGUUGUGGUGGGGUUGCAGGUGAGCUAGCGAAAGGGUAUGAGCAUGGGAGAGCUAUGGCCUUCUCAUCAGCCAAGAUGUGGCAUGGGUGAGGAAGAGAUGCUCCCUCUCUCCUCACUGCCCUGGCAGUGUGAGAGCUGGCCAUGCCCCCUGCCAGCUGCAGCACUGGGUGAGCUAGCCAGGGUGCUGCUGGAGAGCUCACCAUGAUGCUGUGGGCACAGAAAGCUGCUGGGCUGACCAACUCAGUUACCUCGCAGGCCUUUGGGCUUUGAGUUGGCCCACCUCAACAUCUACCCCAUCUGUGAUCUCUUGGAGUGUGUGAAAGAGCUGGUAGAUAAAUGCUACAGGAUCUCAUGACACAGGGCAACAACAGGAUACCUGAGAAGAGUCUCCAUGAAGAGCCAGUAUUGAUAGAGUAGCAGAAACCAGAGGCCUCAAACCAGACCAAUGGUGACUCAUUGCAAUGAACAUUUGCAAGUAAGGAUGCAUGGACAAAAGGGUACACUGUGUGACACACCAUAGCUUCCACAACAAGAUUUUUUUUUUGUUGCUGUUUUAUUUUUAUUCUGGGGGAGAUGAAUGGGAUUGGGGUACAUGAUGUAAAAUUCACAAAGAAUCAAUAAAAAGUUUAAGAGAAUUAUGCACCUCAUUCCAUUUUUUUUCUUUUACGUUUUCCUAGUUUGGAAAUAUAUAUUCAGAAAAAUACGUAGACUAUACAACUAAUAUCUAGAAAGGAAAAUCCAACAUUCAUACUUGAGUGGAGACGUGUGCACCUGUGCAGUUCCCCUCAUAAACUUAUCCUUCCCAGAAUUCCAUACUCCUGAAUUAACACUUCAUUGCCAGUAUUUCUACUUGUAAAGAGUGUGAGUUGGCUUCAUGUGACUAUUGAAAUCUGUGUCCUUGUGUUGAAAAUCCCAAAGCUACCGAAAAGUAGCCUGGUGGUACAAUGACCUUUUCCACACUCUUCGACUAGAUUCCCAAUUUUAGUGUUUUACUGUGUUUUCUUUGUGUCUUAAUCUCUGCAUAUGUAUAUGUGAAAUGUAUGUACAUGUACAUAUGUGUGCAAAUGUUUGCUGAAUUGUUGAAAUAAAUGUGAAGCCCUGGGGGGUGGGGGAGAAGAAGUGGGCAGACAUAUGAAGCCCCUGUUAAAGUUCCCUAAGUGACUGCUCUAGAGAGACAGGCGUCACCCCCAAAGAUGUGAGAAGAAAGACCCCCAACCCAAAUCAUCAUGGCCAAUUUAAUUGAAGCUAGCAAUUAAUUAGAGUAAGUUUUUUUUAUUCAUGUACAGGAGCUGUCUCUCCCUAAAAUUGGGAUUAAAGAGAUCAGCACUGGAUGUGAGGAAGACAAGGUUUUUAUAGCUCAGGGAUAGGGGACUUCUGAAUGGGGGAUUUGGCAGGCAAAAUAGGCAGGGUUACAGGAGCAGACCAUAAGCAUAGCAAGAGAGUCCUAAAGACCUUCUGAAACAUGGUUGCAAGGUUGUAACAAGGGAGUUGUAAUUAAGUAGUUGUAAAAACCUUUUAAAACAAAGGAAGGAUUGUAACAUUCUUAUGAUGGUUAUAGUAAUUUUUUUGAAACAAAGACAUAGUUGCCUCUCCUGGUACAGGCAGUACAAAACCAUUUGUAAUUACGGUUACAGAUGGGGCUUAGCCCAAUUCCUGAGAACAGAGGUUUAAUCAUCAGUGGGACAGAGCCUAGGCUGUCUUUACUGUAUGAUGGCUUUUAAGCCCAUGAUGGAGGCAGGCUGGUUUAUUAUACAAACGGUGGGAAAGAAGAGCAUCUUUCUCAUUAAAGGGAUAAUUAUUUCUCCUAUCUCUGAAACCGGCUUAAGCAGAUCUGACUACCUGAAGGGCCAUUCUUUAGCCUAACUGAAAUGUUAGGUCUCUCCUAGGCCAUAAAUUUCAUUUUCUGACCAAAAGGAAAUAGAGUUCCCUUGGCGGGCCUUUCCUGUGAGUUUGACAUCAGUCAAUGAUAAUUAAAUUAAAGAGCAGUGAGAAGAGUUUAGCACUCACCCUCAUCUUAUCUGAACCCGAUUACCUCUGAGUGAGCUCAUAUGACAGGUACUCAGUGUCAACAUACCAGUCGUGUUCCGACACAGACGAACUCCAACUCUAUGUCCAAGCUGCAGCAGUCCGCACAUGGGUCCUCCUCAGUGCACCUCCUCACAUUCUUAGACUCAGGGACAGAGAGUCAAGAAGCAAAAAGGUGUGGGAAUCCACCCUCCCUGCUGCUUCCCUGGACUGGUUAUAGGGUUCACAGAGAGGUCUGCUGCCUUCUACAGCACUGUGGGGGGUGGGGGUGGGGAGAGCUACUGUCCUCUCCCCUUUCCAUCUCUCCACCAAGUUCUCCUGCCAUCCAGUCACCCCUACCUCCUGCCUUACUGCCCCAGCCUGACCAGUCUUCACAGAGUAGCCUGCUGAAGGCAGAAUCCUAGCGGCUGGGUCAGCCUCUUUAUGCUGCUAUGGAGCCUCCACAUGCUUUCCUGUGCCCUGUUCUGCGAGCUAAACUUAAACAUGGUUCAGGAAAUCACUCCCCACCAGGUAUGAACAGGAGGAAUAUCAACAAGGAGGCUACAGCAUACCAAUUAGGGGAUCUUGAUUUUUGAUCUCUAUAACUGAUAAACAAAUUUCAAUACUUCGUCAAAGGCCUAAUCUGCGACACAGAGAAAGAUGGCUGAUGCCAGCUUCCAUAGUUAUCAUGUGUUUUACACUGUGAGUGGGUCAAUGUCUUCUUCUAUCACUGAUUAUAUGCCUUUGUGGAUAGAAUUUUUAACCUCUCUGAACUUUAGCAUCUUUGAAUUUAAAAUAUUCAAAGUUACAGACACUCUCUCAAUUCAUAAUUAUGGUAAUAGGCAUUAAAAAGUAAGGUAAUGAUGGCCAGUAUGGUAGCUCACACCUUUAGGCCCAGCACUUGAGAGACAGAAAUCAUAAGAUUCCUGUGAGUUCCUGGACAACCAGGGAUAGACCCUGUGUCAGAAAACAAAUGCAAAAGGAAAAAAAAGAAGCAAGAUGGUUAAUAAAGUUAUAUGCAGAAGAAAACAAUUAGCAAGCAUUCCAAAUGCCGUAGUUAAAAAUACAUUAAACAAAGCAGGUCGUUGCUGUCCUCACCAUAACUUUCGCAUGGAACUUACCAGAAUAGCAAAGCUAUCUCCUGCUGCUCGCUAACUUGCUCCAGUUGUGUUGAGAAUAGCAAUUAUACUUUUUUGUUUACACAUUUUGUUUGGAAAUGUUUACAUCCGUGCAGUGAAACUAACUUUUAGAGAAAAGGAGUGUCAUUUGGUUUCGAUGACACCAUAAAGGGGAAGCAUAGAAAUCUGUUGAUGAAAUCUUCAGAAUGUUAGCAGAAUGGGCAGCUUCCAGUGAUACCAUCCCAACAGUGACUCCAGGCUAUGUACUGUAUAGAAAUGCCACCUUCUCUGAUUAGAAAUGGCCCUUGUCCUAGACCCGUGUGUAGAGCCACUUCUUGUCUAGAGCUACAUAGACGCCUCCGUGUGUGACAGAGGGCUUCUGUCUCUAUCUUUUCCCUCACAGCAGAUCCCACAGCUCCUCUUUGUUGAUCACAAUUCUCAUCCUGCAGGCCCUCUCUGGGGUCCUGUUAGAAGUGAGGCUGGGAUCCCAAAAAGGACCCCAGAAUCCGGUGUCUUGGGCAAGAAAGUUUUAUUUAAUUCUGCAGAAGUUUUCAAAGCCCUAACAAGUUCUGGGAAGCAAGCACACCAGCGGGGAGUCCCUCAGAGGGUUACUCCCAACAUGAGGGUUCUGGGCUUACUCUACUGGUCAAAAUUUGGUCUCAGAUUCUCAUACAGUUGGCGAAUUCACAUGGAGAAAUGUGGUCUGGUAAUAAUGUACUUACUGAGGUUUGGAGACGUUUGGUGUUUUGGAAGGACGUCAAAACUCGGGAGAAUCAGAUUUCAUGUGACGGGAACUAGAAACUUAUGUGGGGCAGUCACCAAACGGCAUUUCCUCAAAGCAGAGUCAUCCGGGCUCUGCUAAUCUUUGUGUUUCUCCCAGGUCUUAGGCUCGUUAAUAAAAGGAUUUAGAAAUGGAUUCAGCAGAAAGCGCAAGAACAACUUUGUUAGAGUUUGCAAAACAACAGGGCACAGAAGCUGCCAGGAGUCGGGGCAGGAAGCUGGAGAGAGGAAGACGUGGAGCUGGAAGGGACAGGGGGCAACGGAGAUCGGAGAUCAGCGAAGCAGCCACAUGACAGACAAACAGCAGCUGGGUGGGAAUAUGACUGGGGAAUUUUCGAGUAUCAGGGAAGGCCUACCCAGACUUUGGUCAGAGAUAAGAGAAGAAAAAGUUAUGUGUUACUGACUGAGAAGAGCAGACCAGCUCUGCGGUGUUACAUUAUGGAAGAUCUGCCAGCAAUUGCGUGGAUUUGGGGAGCCCCGGACUACAAACCCAGAGGUGGCACCACCUACAAUGGGCUGGGCCCUCCCCCAUCAGUCACUAAUGAAGAAACUGCUCUACAAGGCUGGGCCACAGCUUGACCUUCAGAAGCAUUUUCUCAGUUGAAGGUCCCUCCUUUCAGAUAACUAUAGUUUGUGUCAAGCCAAUGUAAAUCUAGCCUGCACACCUCCUUUGGUUACAGGUUUGGGGACACCAUUCCUUUGAGCCAAUAUGCUGUCAAACAGCAGAAGAAAUAUUUCACAUGGUUGUCCUGGCACGGCUCUCCCCCACAGUUUAGACUCACUGUCACCGUGCAGAAAAUGAAAAUGUCAACUAAAUUGGAACCAGACAUCCCAUGGCUAGAUUUAUAAGUCAAUAGAUACUUGUGAGCAUAUUAAACAAAAAAUAAUACAUUUAUCAGCCUAUUAAACAAAAACA